UUGCUGAUGCCCCAGUGAGAAGAACACAAACUCACAGCCAUUCAGCCUGACAGUCCCCUCCACCCAGAGCUCAGCACACAUCCUCAGAGCAGCCAGCAGGGAAGGGAGAAGAGGAUCCCUGUGGGAUGAGGCUGGAGAGAGCGAGCAGAGGAGCAGCCUCAGGCUGGAGAAAGGCAAAGGGACCAACAUGGUGUCACCAGGGCACCUGUGAGGAACAGAAUGGACACUUGGAGGCCCCAUGGAGGAAAGGGAUGUGCAUCUCUGUCUUCAGCACACCUUCAGUGGGACCUACCUGUGAAAGCUUUCCAUGACAUCUGCACUUCCAGCUGGAUCCCUGGAAAACUCCAAACUCCAUCCCACUGAUUUUCAGGAGCUUCUGGCCUCCUCCUGCCCUGCGCUCCCAGCCAGCUGGGACACACUGAGGGAACACCAAGGAGCAUCACUGGCAGCAAGCAGGAGAGACACCAAGGCCUCUGGGCCAGAAAAACAGCCCUGGCCUCAGCAGCCAUCAUCGUUUUGACCUGGCAACACUCACCUGCAGGAAACACC